GCAAACAUCAGCAAAUUCAGCAAGUUCUGAGGUGGAUUCUCAUGAAUCCUGGACCCCAAACAAACAUGACAGCAACCCAUACUUACAAUUCGAGUUCACUCCAGGGAAUACAGUUAUUGGUAUACAAAUCAAGGGCAAGGAAGAAAAGAACGAGUGGGUUACAAAAUUCACAAUUUCCUACAGUGUUGAUGGAAUUGUAUGGACUCCGCUAAACAAGAUAUUUGAUGGCAACUCUGAGGAACACAAGGAAACCAUCAUCUUUUUCGACCAAUCUAUCCCCUCCAAUGCUGCUUAUGUCCGUGUUUAUCCUGUUGAAUAUCAUGGGCACAUCAGCUUAUUUGCUCAACUUCUACAAGACUGUCUGAAUAAGACAACAACUGAAGCACCAACAACGCCCACUCCCACCCCUACAGUGAAAACAACAACAACCACAACAC